rnacentral:rRNA from 1 species
GCGUAUAUUAAACUUGUUGCAGUUAAAAAGCUCGUAGUUGAAUUUUAGCGUGUUCGAGUUUGCCAUUCGUUUGGCUUUUUCGAGUUCGCUUUUGGGUUUUCCCUUUUUACUUUGAGAAAAUUAGAGUGUUUCAAGCAGACUUUUGUCUUGAAUACUUCAGCAUGGAAUAAUAGAGUAGGACUUUGGUUCUAUUUUGUUGGUUAUUGAACCUUAGUAAUGGUUAAUAGGAACGGUUGGGGGCAUUCGUAUUUAACUGUCAGAGGUGAAAUUCUUAGAUUUGUUAAAGACAAACUACUGCGAAAGA